AUUGAACGCUGGCGGCAUGCUUUACACAUGCAAGUCGAACGGUAACAGGCCUUCGGGUGCUGACGAGUGGCGAACGGGUGAGUAAUGCAUCGGAACGUGCCCAGAGUUGGGGGAUAACGCAGCGAAAGCUGUGCUAAUACCGCAUGUGAUCUGAGGAUGAAAGCGGGGGACCAAGCAGCAAUGUUUGGCCUCGCGCCUCUGGAGCGGCCGAUGUCAGAUUAGGUAGUUGGUGGGGUAAAGGCCUACCAAGCCGACGAUCUGUAGCUGGUCUGAGAGGACGACCAGCCACACUGGGACUGAGACACGGCCCAGACUCCUACGGGAGGCAGCAGUGGGGAAUUUUGGACAAUGGGCGCAAGCCUGAUCCAGCAAUGCCGCGUGAGGGAAGAAGGACUUCGGGUUGUAAACCGCUUUUGUACGGAACGAAAAGGCUCUGGCUAAUACCUGGGGCUGAUGACGGUACCAUAAGAAUAAGCACCGGCUAACUACGUG
rnacentral:rRNA from 1 species